rnacentral:rRNA from 1 species
UACGUAGGAGGCAAGCGUUGUCCGGAGUUACUGGGCGUAAAGCGCACGCAGGCGGUCCUAUUAGUCUGGGGUGACAGUUCCCGGCUUAACCGGAAAAGGACUCUGGAAACUGUAGGACUUGAGGGACUUCAGAGGGAUGUGGAAUUCCAGGUGGAGUGGUGAAAUGCGUAGAGAUCUGGAAGAACACCAAAGGCGAAGGCAGCAUCCUGGGAAGUUCCUGACGCUCGGGUGCGAAAGCCAGGGGAGCGAACGGG